AGGGAAAAAUAGACACAGUGAGUUACACAGCGGGUUGUAAAGAUUCUGCCUACAAGCGACACACAAUGCUCCUAGUCAUAAUUCAUUAGCCAGAGCUGGUCUUGUGACCCCUGAGCUUGACACGGCAGGCAUAGGCAAUCCUCCCAAAUUCCUCCCAGGGAUGGGACCCAAAGGCAGGGGCAGAAUUAGCUGAGAUGAGAAGCUGAUCCUCUUGCCAUCUCAGAGAAAGAACGUCCUGGAAUGAAGAAGGAGAAGGAAGCCAGGGACAUCCUGUUUUCUACCUUUGAUGCUUUUGAGCGUGGUGAUAGCAUUCACUGAAGUGGGCAUCCCAAGAGAAGAGGCCGGGAAAUGAGAUGGUGAAUACAUUUGGGGCAAGGAUGGUCAGGUGGCCUGGAAAGCCCUUGCUGAUGAGACACCACUUAAGCAGAAGUGAAUAGAGAAGGAUUGAGCCAUGUUGCUAUUUGGGGAAGGAUUGCUCCAGUCACAGGGAAGAGAAUGUGCAAAGGUCCUGGGAAGUACGACUUGCUUCAGCUGAUCUGCAGGGAGGAGAUUGUAGAGUAGCAAAGGUGAACCCAGGGAGGCCGGUUAUGUGGUUAAUGUGAGUGUCCAAUGAUGAAGGUCAUGGUGGAGGAGGUAAGAAGUAUACUAUAUGGGGACAUAUUUUGUAGUAUUUGCUGAGGGAUGGCAUGUGGAGUGUGGGAGAACGAGAGGCAUCAGAAAUGGCUCCAUGAUUUUUAGACAGAGUAUCUAGGUAUUGUCACCUGCCAUAGUAAGGACCAUUGAGGAAAGAGCAGGCUUUGCCGGGUCAAGAGUUCCGUAACCUUCUCCAUAAUCAGGGCCAUGUAUCCAGGAAUGACUCCUAUCCUUAGAGCACUUGGCAUUUUGCAAAAACAAUUUCCUGUCAGCCUUAUGAGCUAGGCAAGACUGAUGCUAUUUGUUUCCAUUUUGCAAAAGAAAAUAACAAGGCUCACAAAGAGUAAGCAGGAGACUGUAAUAGACAGGACUAUUUUGAAACAUGAGACAAAACAACUCCCAACUAACAUAAGCACAGAAGAAAAUGCAUUGGCUUUUGCAGAUGAAGUAUCCCAGGUUGUAGGCGGCUUUAGUCGUGGCAGUGAGGUCUGUCUAUCUCUCUGUGUGCACCUGUCCAGUCCAAGAUGUUACCUCUCAAGCCGAGACGCACGUUCUGAGCCUCUGCAAAGAGGACUUGGUAGAUUCUGUGCAUAUUUUCUUCCAGGAUGACCCCCCUUUCACUUGCUGAAAGGCUCCUGCAAUAAUGUCACUGCAAGACCCAUAAAGAUGGAAGACUGAGUGUUCAGUGGGUUGGCUGACAGGCUCUACUUUCAUUCUGAUCUGGGAGAGGGGAAUCCAUCGAAGCCCUGUCACCUCACUGCCAGAAGAGAUUGCCUUCUUC